AUAUAUUUAUAUGUAAAUAAAACACAGGUUGUAUGCCUAUGAAACAGUAACACACUGCAUACUUGAUGACUGCUGCCUUGUCCCUACUCCCUACUGCAGGGGAGAAAAUGGACCAGUCUCACCAAUGAAAAAGGUAAACUAAAAUGUUAAUUACUGGGUGGAAACACAGAUGGUUUGCACAUACAUUUACAUCUUCUUGAUUACUUCUUUAAAAAUUUUUCUUCAUUUACUAAAGUCACUUUUUAUGAUACAUUAUUAUAUGAUAUACUAUCUCACAGUUAUUAAGGUUGGACAACUAGGUGCCCAUGACCAAGUCCUCAUUGUGCAUGGAUUUAGUCUGGUUGGACUUUCUCAGGAAAGGCAGCUGAACUCAUGACUAGUACCAGUUCCAUGGUUACCCUGGAAGUUGAAAAUCAAGGCAUCCUCUCUCACUGCCUGUCCACCUUUCUUACCCAGCCAUUGUCCCCCAUGGUGCAGAGAGCACAGAUCUCAUCUGGUCCUGGAGAAAGUCCUUAUCCUGGUCUGUGGCGUCAGGAGACUUGUAGGGGUGCGUGAAGCCGACUUCUGGUACAUCUUUGUCUCUGGCUCAGUGCUAAACAUCCUGCCCUCAGUGUAUGAUGGGUAUGCCAUGGCUCCUGCAUUUAAAGGAAUGUUAUGUUUAUUUUACUUGUUAUUUAAUGUGACACUUGGGUUUUUAACACUAUUUCUAAUAGAUCAGCCUCCUAUUCCUGGAGAGAAGUGUGCAUAUACCACUACAACAGCAGCUAACAUCUGUCUCCACUGGAGACCUCUGCACUGAGGUCUGAGAUGAGCUGGAACACUUUCUUACUGGUGAAAUAUCUGACUUCUUUGAUACAGUUCUCAACAAAUUACAUUAACUAUCAUUCCUGAA
rnacentral:sRNA from 1 species